CCUCUGAUCAAAUUUUCGAAUAGUAUGGUCCCCAUAGAACGAACAAUCUCCCUCACUAUAAUAGCUGGAUGAGCUCCAUGGCAGGCUGUUGUGUAAAUAAAUUACUUCAUAGUAAAAAAUCCGUUGGUGUACAAUGUCAUUUUAGGUUGGUCUGGAUUGAACACUCUUCAAGCUAUAGUGUCGACCUACUAUUUUAACAAUGAAAUUUUUUACUCCCUAU
rnacentral:lncRNA from 1 species